UACGAGGGGGGCGAGCGUUGUUCGGAAUUAUUGGGCGUAAAGGGUGCGUAGGCGGUUCGGUAAGUCUCAUGUGAAAUCUACAGGCUCAACUUGUAGUCUGCAUGAGAAACUGCCGGGCUUGAGUAUGGGAGAGGUGAGUGGAAUUCCUGGUGUAGCGGCGAAAUGCGUAGAUAUCAGGAGGAACACCUGUGGCGAAAGCGGCUCACUGGACCAUAACUGACGCUGAUGCACGAAAGCUAGGGGAGCAAACAGG
rnacentral:rRNA from 1 species